rnacentral:rRNA from 1 species
GCUCAGGAUGAACGCUGGCGGCGUGCUUAACACCCUUUAGUCGAACGGAGAUGUUAUGUGAGAGGAGACAGCUUGCUGGAUCUGAUCUUUUAACAUUUUAGUGGCGGACGGGUGAGUAACGCGUGGGUAACCUGCCUUAUACAGGGGGAUAACACUUAGAAAUAGGUGCUAAGACCGCAUAAGCGCACAGUGCCGCAUGGCAGAGUGUGAAAAACUGAGGUGGUAUAAGAUGGACCCGCGUCUGAUUAGCCAGUUGGCAGGGUAACGGCCUACCAAAGCGACGAUCAGUAGCCGGCCUGAGAGGGUGGACGGCCACAUUGGGACUGAGACACGGCCCAAACUCCUACGGGAGGCAGCAGUGGGGAAUAUUGCACAAUGGGGGAAACCCUGAUGCAGCGACGCCGCGUGAGUGAAGAAGUAUUUCGGUAUGUAAAGCUCUAUCAGCAGGGAAGAAAAUGACGGUACCUGAGUAAGAAGCCCCGGCUAACUACGUGCCAGCAGCCGCGGUAAUACGUAGGGGGCAAGCGUUAUCCGGAUUUACUGGGUGUAAAGGGAGCGUAGACGGUUUGGCAAGUCUGAAGUGAAAGGCAUGGGCUUAACCCGUGGACUGCUUUGGAAACUGCAUGACUGGAGUGCAGGAGAGGUAAGUGGAAUUCCUAGUGUAGCGGUGAAAUGCGUAGAUAUUAGGAGGAACACCAGUGGCGAAGGCGGCUUACUGGACUGUAACUGACGUUGAGGCUCGAAAGCGUGGGGAGCAAACAGGAUUAGAUACCCUGGUAGUCCACGCCGUAAACGAUGAUUACUAGGUGUCGGGGGUAACAGAACCUUCGGUGCCGCAGCCAACGCAAUAAGUAAUCCACCUGGGGAGUACGUUCGCAAGAAUGCAACUCAAAGGAAUUGACGGA